GAGGUUGAUCAUGGCUCAGAUUGAACGCUGGCGGCAGGCCUAACACAUGCAAGUCGAACGGUAACAGGAAACAGCUUGCUGUUUCGCUGACGAGUGGCGGACGGGUGAGUAAUGUCUGGGAAACUGCCUGAUGGAGGGGGAUAACUACUGGAAACGGUAGCUAAUACCGCAUAACGUCGCAAGACCAAAGAGGGGGACCCUCGGGCCUCUUGCCAUCGGAUGUGCCCAGAUGGGAUUAGCUUGUAGGUGGGGUAACGGCUCACCAAGGCGACGAUCCCUAGCUGGUCUGAGAGGAUGACCAGCCACACUGGAACUGAGACACGGUCCAGGCUCCUACGGGAGGCAGCAGUGGGGAAUAUUGCACAAUGGGCGCAAGCCUGAUGCAGCCAUGCCGCGUGUAUGAAGAAGGCCUUCGGGUUGUAAAGUACUUUCAGCGGGGAGGAAGGGAGUAAAGUUAAUACCUUUGCUCAUUGACGUUACCCGCAGAGAAGCACCGGCUAACUCCGUGCCAGCAGCCGCGGUAAUACGGAGGGUGCAAGCGUUAAUCGGAAUUACUGGGCGUAAAGCGCACGCAGGCGGUUUGUUAAGUCAGAUGUGAAAUCCCCGGGCUCAACCUGGGAACUGCAUCUGAUACUGGCAAGCUUGAGUCUCGUAGAGGGGGGUAGAAUUCCAGGUGUAGCGGUGAGAUGCGUAGAGAUCUGGAGGAAUACCGGUGGCGAAGGCGGCCCCCUGGACGAAGACUGACGCUCAGGUGCGAAAGCGUGGGGAGCAAACAGGAUUAGAUACCCUGGUAGUCCACGCCGUAAACGAUGUCGACUUGGAGGUUGUGCCCUUGAGGCGUGGCUUCCGGAGCUAACGCGUUAAGUCGACCGCCUGGGGAGUACGGCCGCAAGGUUAAAACUCAAAUGAAUUGACGGGGGCCCGCACAAGCGGUGGAGCAUGUGGUUUAAUUCGAUGCAACGCGAAGAACCUUACCUGGUCUUGACAUCCACGGAAGUUUUCAGAGAUGAGAAUGUGCCUUCGGGAACCGUGAGACAGGUGCUGCAUGGCUGUCGUCAGCACGUGUUGUAAAAUGUUGGGUUAAGUCCCGCAACGAGCGCAACCCUUAUCCUUUGUUGCCAGCGGUCCGGCCGGGAACUCAAAGGAGACUGCCAGUGAUAAACUGGAGGAAGGUGGGGAUGACGUCAAGUCAUCAUGGCCCUUACGACCAGGGCUACACACGUGCUACAAUGGCGCAUACAAAGAGAAGCGACCUCGCGAGAGCAAGCGGACCUCAUAAAGUGCGUCGUAGUCCGGAUUGGAGUCUGCAACUCGACUCCAUGAAGUCGGAAUCGCUAGUAAUCGUGGAUCAGAAUGCCACGGUGAAUACGUUCCCGGGCCUUGUACACACCGCCCGUCACACCAUGGGAGUGGGUUGCAAAAGAAGUAGGUAGCUUAACCUUCGGGAGGGCGCUUACCACUUUGUGAUUCAUGACUGGGGUGAAGUCGGAACAAGGUA
rnacentral:rRNA from 1 species